UAUGGACCCGGCGGACCAAGAUGCAGUGCGCUGCACGUUGGAGGCCCAGGAGAAGUUGCUGGGGAAGCACGACCAGCUCCUCACGGACAUUUGGACUUUGCUCCAGACCCUCAACGGCAGCGUGACAAACCUGCCCUCUUCAGGACAGGCGGAGCAGGUUCCGCCUCCUGUGGAGGCACCAAGAGCCGUCCUUCAGCCGGCCACCACUGCACCACAGGAGCCUCAUGUGCCCAUCCCGGAGCGGUAUUCUGGGCGAAGAUCGCUUUUGUCGUGAAUCUUCACUCCAGGAGAGUGGUGCAAUGGGCCAUGGCGGAUUUCAUGGCCGACCUUGACCACCCAGUCCAGAGUCGCAAGGCAGCCUCCCAGAUCCUCUCCCUAUGCCAGGGCUCCAGCUCCCUCGCAGACUACUCCACCCGGUUCUGCAUCCUCGUGGCCAGGAGCAGAUGAAAUGACGCAGCCCUCCAGGGGGUGUUCACCCAAGGACUCGCUGAGGAACUCAAAGAUGAGUUAGCUGCUUGGGAGGAAUCUGGGGAUCCGGAGACGUGAAUCAGCCUGGCUAUCCUGCUGGACAACCAACUGCAGGAUAGACGCCGGCAAAGAGUUAGCGAAUGACUGGCGAGGAGUUCAGGAAGCUCGACCAGAUGUUGUGGGGCUUUAAUUGAACCAUCAACUCCGGUGCCUGCUCCACCUCAUGAGGACGUUGUCGAUGAGGAGAAGACACAAGUACCAGGUGUUCCGGCUGGCCACUACCUCGCUGAUUGCCCGUCACGGCCCAAAGGACUAAGCCCAUCGACUCCCAUUAGAGUGUUGGCAAGCGGUUACUCCGCUCUGGCCCGCUUAACACUGCCGGGCACACUCCUCUGGGGCAAGGAAUCUGUCUCUGCGCCAUUCCUGGUGGACUCCGGCGCAGACAACAGCUUCAUCUGCCAGGACUUGGUCAUGCAAGCCCGCAUCCCUGUCGAGGCUCUGCCCGAGUCAAGACCCAUCCUUGGUCUCAACGGGGAUGUCCUGACAAAGGAAGUGGGGCAUUUCCCCCAUGUGGUGCAGCCGGGUGGCGCAGUCCAGGUGUCGGGGAUCGGUGAGGGACUCUGCCGCAGGAAGAGAGCUGCUGCAGUUUCGGGGUCCCGGUCUGGUCCAGCGACGCGGAGCCGGACCCCGUCUUACUCCGUUCCUGCAUCCUGGCAGUUGGAGCAGAGAGUCCAAGAGGCCCAGCAAUCAGUCCCGGAUCCAGGUGUGGUUCUACUGAACCGGCUGUUCGUCCCUGAGGUGGUGCGUUUCGACGGUCUGCACUGGGCCCACGCCUCAAGGCUGACCUGCCACCUGGGAAUCAUCCGCACACUACAGUUACUUUGGCAGCGGUUUUGGUGGCCCUCCAUUACCCGAGACACCAGGAACUACAUAGCAGCCUGUGCCAGGGAAAAGUCCUCCCACCAGCCCCUAUUGUCCGAUGUUCUGGAGGACGAGGUGGCGGUGCCCUCGGUUCAGGCCAACAUACGCCGGUGCAGGAGGGUGUGGAGGCAGGUCCGCGCUGCACUCCUGCGGGCCUCCCAGCGCUCUCAACGGCAGGCCAAUCAGCACCAGACUCCAGCCCCUUCCUAUCAGCUGGGUCAGAAGGUCUGGCUGUCUACAAAGGACCUCCCGCUCCAGGUGGAGUCUCGGAACCUGACUCCACGCUUCAAUGCCCUUUCGAGGUGGAGCGGAUGGUGA
ensembl:lncRNA